CAACUUUCCAUUUUUUAUUUCUUCCUUCUUUUCUUUUUGGGGCUCCACAUAUUUUCUCUUUUUUGACUUCAUACCAUAUUUUCCCUAAAUUGCUCCAUCUCCCUUCUCUUUCUCCUGCAAACCAGCCGCCUCCCUCAUCUCCUUUGUCCUCUCUCCUUCUCUCCGUCCCUCACCUGCGCUACCUUUCCCCGAUUUUCCUCCACUCUCAUUCGUCGCUGUCCCCCACUCGCUACACCCCGCUCCUCUUCUUCUUCCAUCUAAAACCCUAAUCACAAUCCUAUAAAAAGAGGGGAACGAGGAGAAGCGAGGGGGACGAAAGACCUCUCAUUUAAGCUAUUUUUCUACUUUUGCUAAAAAAAAAACAUUAGCAUUUUAUAUCUUUCAAUCUCUGUCCGUUUCUAUUUUGUAAAAGGAGAGUAGAUCUGAGACUUGACGCCCCGUUCACUGUGCUCACAAGAGGUAUGGAUUUGCAUUGGAGUACAAUGAAUGACGAAGAUCAAUGACAUCACAAAAACGAGGCUGAGAUUUAGACAUAGGAAAUUGUAUUCACUUCAUUUAGAUUAGGAAACACUUUAUGUUGUAUUCAUUUGACAUGUAAUAAACGUUACAUUACUUUUGUACUUUAUUGUUGGGGAAAUAGAAUUUGUUUAAAUAAUCAAAGCAACGGGAUGACAUA